AUGCUUUAGCAGCACAUAUGCUAAAAUGGGAAUGAUACAGAGAAGAUUAGCAUGGCCUCUGGGCAAGGAUGACUUGCAAAUUCAUGAAGCAUUUCAUACUUUU